rnacentral:snRNA from 1 species
GGUCUUCAGUGAAGGGUAUAGGAGUAGCUGCUCUCCCCUGCUAGAACCUCUAAACAAACCUCUCAAGGACAAAGGGAUCACAAUGUGAGUGGCUUAAGUCGGAGUCACCAGCUCUGAGAAACACAGUGGUCUGAUUCUGUGU